UCCACCCUUUCUCCUUUUUCCCCGCCAUUUUGCUUCCUUUUCCCACCCAUUCAAUCUUUCCAAGCACUUACCUCUUUUCCUUUUUCUUUUCCACUCCCCCUUUCUCUCCUCCUUCCUUCACCACCUUCUUCUUUCCCCUCACUUUUACCUUCUUUCCCUUCCUUCUUUCCUUUCUGCAUUCUUUUCCCCUCUACUCCUCCUCAUCUCCUUGGUGCCUCCCCUCCACCUUCUCAUUCCCCCUUUCCCAUCCUUCUUCCACUUCCCUUACAUCAUAUUCUCCUUCUCACAGGUUUUCUCUGCCUAAUAUCUCUACAGCUCCAAUCAAAUAUUCUCACCUUGAACCACAUCAGGAAUUCUUCAUCAUUUCUGGUAUUUGUCUGGGGCUGGCUGUGCACCCAGAAGGCCAUUCGUUCCAUGAAGAACAUGACAGAGGUACCUGGUCCUACCUGGAUUCUUGGGCAUGCGGGCAGCAGCAGCAGCAGCAGCCACAGUGAACUUCAUCCUAAGGAAAUUAAGCACACGUUGCGUGAGGCUGCUGUGGGGGUGCCAGGUGCUGAGGUUUCUGUAGUGGAUAAAACACAAAAAUACCAGCCCUCAUGGUGAAAAUGGAAUGACAAUAAACAAGAUAAAUUAGAUCUAUGCAACAAAACCAAGCCUUUGUGCACAUCUGUGGUUGUGACCAGUUGGAGAGACAUUAGGAGAUGAGAUACUAUGUUCACUCCUCACAGCUGUACCAGGGACCUGAGAUAUUCCGUCACUAUUCUAUGAAUGGUCUGGCUUGAUGAUAUCCAACCUGACGUGGCCUGAAGAGACAGACAGUGGCUCUUGCUAGCUAAUUAUUGUCAGAUGGAUCGGCAGCCGACCAACGCUUCUGAAACUAUUGUUUUUGGCAAAUGUUCCUCAACAUUUUCCUGGGAGCUAUGGUGCAUUACUCACGAGUGACAGAACCAACGAGCUUCAUCUCCCAAGAGGCUGGUGCAUCUGUUUAAAGGAGCAGGCACUAGGCAGAGCAGCCCCCACCCCACCCUCCAUGGCAGAGUGCAGUGGGGGAAGGGAUGGGAUUUCACCAUGUUGUCCAAGCUGGUUUUGAACUCCUGGGGUCAAGAAAUCCACCUGCUUCGGCCUCCCACAGUGCUGGGAUUACAGGUGUGAGCCCCUGCACCCAGCCUAAUUAAGUUUUGAAUAUCUUAUCCCUAUCAAUGACUUGUCUUUUCAUUCCUCUAACGUUCUUAAUUUUGAUCAAGUCCAAUUUAUCUUUUCUCUCCUUUAUAGAUUGUGCUUUUGGUGUUACAUCUAAGAAAUCUUUGCUUUUGAUUAUUUUAAAAAUUGAUUUUCUCAUCAAGUAAAAGAAAAUGUACUUUCAAGUUCCUUUAAGUAUAUCCACGUUGCCUAGGCAACCAAGUUAUUUAUCAAUAGGUGAUCAUUUGUAAUGAUUUGUUAAUAAAGG
rnacentral:lncRNA from 1 species